GAGAGGAAUGAAAAGUCCCGCUUCUGAGAAAAGAGUUCUUUACAGCCAGAUCAAACACAAAACUAGAGGAGCAGCAAACAGGACGAUUUUUAUUCUCAUUCAACUCUCACAGGAGAUAGGAACGCACAUGCUAAAACAGCAUUUGCCGGUGUAAGAGCUCACAGUUUUCCACAAAGUCUUUACCCGACAGGAUUGUGCAGUUGAGUUGAUCUACAAGUGGUUCAUAAAGAGCUCCCCCCUCACCCCGCCACACACACGGAAAAGCCAAGUUUCAUAACGCCAUGACCCUGAUCCCUGAAAAGCCCCCUGGAGGCUGACCGUCAGGCCUCCUGCCUGAAGGUGGUUCAUCCCAGGGCGGCUGCAGGCUGCACGCGGGCUCAGUGUGCUCUGGCCACAGGCGGCUGUCCAAGCCCAUGCAGCUGCUCUCCUCCCCGCCCAGGUGGGGGGACCCUCCAGGCCACCUGGGGUAGCGCUCCCUCUUGGGGACCCUAAGCAUCCAACAGAACUGGAGGGGCCUGUGCUGGGCAACCAGCUGGCUGGAGGGAGGGCAUAGCUGGUGUUCUGUCAUGGUCUUCCUUGGCCCUUUGUUCUCCCAGCUCAAAGCUUUCGUGAUGGAGAAGCCGUCCCCAUCUUUAGGGGGAGAUCUGGUCAUUAGAGCCCGGGAGGAGGAAGCCCUUCGCUUCCUGCGGACCUUGCAGCUUUGAUGUCACUUAGGUUUCUGUUGAACACCUGGAUUUGGAUGCAGUUGGAGGAGUGCACUUAGGGAUUGGAAGUCAUCCAGGAAUUUCAAGCAAUCAGAUGCACCCGGAAUGUUAGUAGUUUAAAUCAAGGUUUGACAAAUUACAGCUCAUGGGCUAAUCCAGCCCUCGUCCUAUUUUUAUACGGCCAGCAAGCUAAGAGUGGUUUCUAUAUUUUUAAAAAGUUGUAAAACAAACAAACAAGAAUAUGCAAGAGAGACAUAUAUGACCUGCAUAGCCUAAAAUACUUACUAUGUGUCCUUAUGUGAUUUACAGAAUCAGCUUGCCAGCCCCUGGUAAAUGAAGGAGCUAGAGAUGAUAAAACGUCUAAAGUUCACGAGGAAAGCGAGGCUGCCCAGGAAGAGGAUGUGGUCUUGGCUGCAGGCAAUUCCCAGAGAGGACUGAGCUGUGAGCCAGAAGGUGUUGGGAGAACGGGAGACUCUGUCCUGGAGGGGAGUCUGAAGGAGGCAGCCGGCAUUCACUACAGUGAGCUCAGCAAAUAGCUUCCCAGUGGAGCCACCUUCCUUAUCUGCAGCUCCACUUUCCCUGGGCUUCACCAACCUAUGCAGACAGAUGGGGUCCUAGCAGCGGAAACAGCCUGAAUUUGCAGCACCUCCCUCAAAUGAACGUAACUCAGAUGCCUCCAGGUCUUACCCGCUGGCGUCUGUCAAUGUCACAUCUGUAGCACUGACCAAACCCACCAUUUGUUUGAUGAGCAGAGAUUCCAGUGUUUGGGGCGGCAGAUGAACUCUCCAGUCAUUCCCUCUAGAAGCCCCUGGCAGAGUGGGCAGGGGAGAAGGUUUCACAUACGAUAGAACCACUGCCUCUAUCUCCGGUCCAACCCUCCUUCUGUUCUGUGCAGUCUCUUACUGAGCUGCCCAUGGGCUUCUAGCCAUGCCUACUCAUGCCCAAUGCCUGGGCCACUUCUGACCAUCUCACCCUCUUCCACCCCACCUCUGGCCAGCAGGAAAUUUCCAUCCUUGCCCUUCUCCUGACCAGCUGCUUCAGAAGGGUUGCUGGGUUUCAAGUGACAGCUCUCUCAUUGAUGUCCCAGCCGGUCACCUUCCUGGAUCACAGGGUCUUGGGGGGGGGGGGCGGGGGGCGUGGUCAGGCCAGCCUCAGGUCAUAUCUGGAAUGUGUACACACAUCUCAGGCCCUGCUGCCAAGGCUGAUCCACGCUGCUGGACCUUUGCUACGGCCACUGUGACUUCCUCACCGAAGGCUCACUCCAUCUUCCAAGUCACCCAACUUUGGGGAACCCAUUCCAUCAGAUCGUUCUCUAUGUCUGAACCCUGAUUAUGAGCUGGCUUUAAGUUUUUCCCACUAGACUCUUAGGAUGUGUCUGAACAUUUAUUUUUCUGUCCAGAACUUUCCAAGAGAGUCGAGAAGCUUCCUCUCAUUUCUUGACAAUUGAAAAGUACCCACUCAUGGCAAGCAGGGGAACUCUGAGGGGUUUUGCUAUUUAAUUCCAGAACCAUACUAAGAGAAUCAUGACAACGUAGCCCAAAAUGACAGCACACAAGACAACUGGUGUCCUUUCAAGGUCUGUUUGACAAAGGGAUAGAAGAAAUGCUUUGGAAAUGCACAUUUAAAAGUGUCCCACCUAGGGACUUCCCUGGCGGUCCAAUGGUUAUGACUCCAUGCUUCCACUGCAGGGGGCACAGUUUCUAUCCCUGGUCAGGGAACUAAGAUCCCACAUCCCAUAUGCCGCGUGGCGUGGCCAAAAAAAAAAGUGUCCCACCUACACUUGGAUGAUGGCCCAGCUCCACUGGUCACCCUCAGCAUGAUCUAGACUGGGAUGACCACAGCUGUGUGGGUCAGAAGAGCUGGAUUCUUACUCUGGCUUAUCCUUUCUUUGCUGUGUGCACCUGUCCUACCUGGGCCUCAACUUUCUCAUUUGUAAAAUGGAGAUACGGCAGCCUUGACUACCAGAGUGUAACCUUGGAUGUCAAGUGAGGUGAUGUCUGUGAAGAAAUUUGUCAGAGCAAAGGAGAAAGCUCCAUGGGCCUCUGCAAACAGCUGCUUCCCAAAGACAAGGGAGGAAAAUACCCAAAGCAAUGAUGAGGUAAAAGGGUCCGUGAGCCCUGGGAGGUUCUCCUGGCAGUCCGAGGGCUGCGGCUCAUUGCCAAGGCCAUCAUAUGGCUGCCUUUAGAGCCCACUCACUGACCAGUCUCUGGGGCCCAUGAAGGCCACGGAGGUUAUGACAAAAAAGUCAUCUCGGAACUUCCCUGGAGGUCUGGUGGUUAAGACUCCACGCUUCUGGACUUCCCUGGUGGUGCAGUGGUUAAGAAUCCACCUGUGAAUGCAGGGAACACGGGUUUGAUCCCUGGUCCAGGAAGAUCCCACAUGCUGUGGAGCAGCUAAGCCCAUGCACCACAACUACUGAGCCCGCGAGCCACAACUACUGAGCCCGUGUGCCACAACUACUGAAGCCCCUGCACCUAGACCCCGUGCUCCGCAACAAGAAAAGCCACUGCAAUGAGAAGCCCGCGCACCGCAACGAAGAGUAGCCCCCACGCACCGCAACUAGAGAAAGCCCGCGCACAGCAACAAAGACCCAACGCAGUCAAAUUAAUUAAUUAAUUAUUUUUAAAAAAGGACUCCGUGCUUCCACUGCAGGGGGCACGGGCUUGAUCCCUGGUUGGGGAACUAAGAUCUCGCAUGUUAUGUGGCGUGGCCAAAAGAGAAAAAAGAAAAAGAAAAAAGAAAAGGGGAGAAAACAGUUUCCAAUUUAUUAAAAAAAAAAGAAAAAAAGAAAAAGAAAAAAGGUCAUCUCACCUUCCACCCAGAAGCAUUCAGUGGGGUGUCCCCACAGUGCUAGAACAGUUCAAAUGAUCCACACCCCAGUGGGGCCUCUGAGUUCAGGCCCCAGCAGGGUAGAAGUUUCUUUGGGGAGCUCUGAGACCAGGAUUGGCUCCAGAAUAGCCAGAUAGCACCCCCAGCCAGGCAUCUCCAGCGACUUCUUGGCAGGUCAACGUCAUGGUCUCUCCUGUGGCCCCUUCUCCUUGAAUUAACGCCUUAAAUUUUCAAAAUGCCUUGUGAUUUUCAAAACACUUUCACACACAUUUUUUAUUUGAUCCUCACAUUACCCUGGAGGAAGGCACCUGGCAGAUGAGUAACUGAAGCAUUGGAAGCUUAAUGGCUUGCCUAAGGUCACUUCGUGUUAUGGACUGAAUGUCUGUGUCCCCUUCCC